GGCCCCUUGGUCAAGCGGUUAAGACACCGCCCUUUCACGGCGGUAACACGGGUUCGAAUCCCGUAGGGGUCA
rfam:Bacillus infantis NRRL B-14911, complete genome.